UACGUAGGGCGCAAGCGUUGUCCGGAAUUAUUGGGCGUAAAGAGCUCGUAGGCGGCCUGUUACGUCUGCUGUGAAAACCCGGGGCUCAACCCCGGGCCUGCAGUCGAUACGGGCAGACUAGAGUGCGGUAGGGGAGACUGGAAUUCCUGGUGUAGCGGUGAAAUGCGCAGAUAUCAGGAGGAACACCGGUGGCGAAGGCGGGUCUCUGGGCCGUAACUGACGCUGAGGAGCGAAAGCGUGGGGAGCGAACAGG
rnacentral:rRNA from 1 species